CAGUCGCCACGGUAAUACGUAGGUCCCGAGCGUUGUCCGGAUUUAUUGGGCGUAAAGCGAGCGCAGGCGGUUAGAUAAGUCUGAAGUUAAAGGCUGUGGCUUAACCAUAGUACGCUUUGGAAACUGUUUAACUUGAGUGCAGAAGGGGAGAGUGGAAUUCCAUGUGUAGCGGUGAAAUGCGUAGAUAUAUGGAGGAACACCGGUGGCGAAAGCGGCUCUCUGGUCUGUAACUGACGCUGAGGCUCGAAAGCGUGGGGAGCAAACAGGAUUAGAUACCCCGGUAGUCCCUGUCUCUUAUACA
rnacentral:rRNA from 1 species